GGAAUCUUCGGCAAUGGGGGCAACCCUGACCGAGCAACGCCGCGUGAGUGAAGAAGGUUUUCGGAUCGUAAAGCUCUGUUGUAAGAGAAGAACGUGUGUGAGAGUGGGAAGUUCACACAGUGACGGUAACUUACCAGAAAGGGACGGCUAACUACGUGCCAG
rnacentral:rRNA from 1 species